UACAGAGGAUGCGAGCGUUAUCCGGAUUUAUUGGGUUUAAAGGGUGCGUAGGCGGACGCUUAAGUCAGCGGUAAAAUUGCGGGGCUCAACCUCGUCGAGCCGUUGAAACUGGGUGCCUUGAGUGGGCGGGAAGUACGCGGAAUGCGUGGUGUAGCGGUGAAAUGCAUAGAUAUCACGCAGAACUCCGAUUGCGAAGGCAGCGUACCGGCGCCCAACUGACGCUGAAGCACGAAGGCGUGGGUAUCGAACAGG
rnacentral:rRNA from 1 species